rnacentral:rRNA from 1 species
AGUGAACGCUGGCGGUAGGCCUAACACAUGCAAGUCGAACGGCAGCACAGUAAGAGCUUGCUCUUACGGGUGGCGAGUGGCGGACGGGUGAGGAAUACAUCGGAAUCUACUUUUUCGUGGGGGAUAACGUAGGGAAACUUACGCUAAUACCGCAUACGACCUACGGGUGAAAGCAGGGGAUCUUCGGACCUUGCGCGAUUGAAUGAGCCGAUGUCGGAUUAGCUAGUUGGCGGGGUAAAGGCCCACCAAGGCGACGAUCCGUAGCUGGUCUGAGAGGAUGAUCAGCCACACUGGAACUGAGACACGGUCCAGACUCCUACGGGAGGCAGCAGUGGGGAAUAUUGGACAAUGGGCGCAAGCCUGAUCCAGCCAUACCGCGUGGGUGAAGAAGGCCUUCGGGCUGUAAAGCCCUUUUGUUGGGAAAGAAAAGCAGCAGGUUAAUACCCCGCUGUUCUGACGGUACCCAAAGAAUAAGCACCGGCUAACUUCGCG